rnacentral:lncRNA from 1 species
GCUAUUAUGAGCACUACAGGAGAGAUUCGUAUACCGAUCUUACCUCCUGCCAGGUGUUAUUGGCCUAUUUCGUAGUCACCCAUCAUUGACAUCCCAUUGAUGGGGAUUGACGGUUUUAUAUUGUCAGAGGGCCCCUGUUCUCAGGAGAUGUUCCAGCAUUGGUGGAUCCCUCGUACGAUUGGAGCUCGGACCCGCGCCAUACAGUUUAUGGGGGAUAUGGUUCUAAGAUCCGUGAUGAUGACAGAUUGGCUAGCCUGUGUCAGAGAUCCGACUCAUGUGACACAGAUUGACAGAUUGACUUGGCAGUUGGACCGGUCACAUCUUUUCAUUCGAUAUUUGGGCAGAGAUCUUGCAGAG